rnacentral:rRNA from 1 species
ACAUACGACCAUAUCCAUCGCAAAAUACGGGAUCCCGUCCGCUCUCCCAGAGUCAAGACGAUGAGAGGCUGAUUAGUAGUCAGGUGGGUGACCACUGGCGAACACCGGCUGUUGUAUGUU